CCUGGGGGGAGGGCCUGCCAGGCCACAGCGCCGCCCUCACGGCGCCCACCUCACCUGUCCUGCCUAUUGUACCUCUGCUGCGUCAUGCGUGAAUGAAUUCAUUUCGAAUUCAUUUUUUAACUGAGUUUAAUUUAAUUUUGUUGGUACUGUUGAAAAACGUGGAAUACGUCAAAAUUUUCUUCAGGAUUUUCUGUGAUGUUAUUGUUGGUAGAAGUUAUUGUUGGUAGAAUUGCCUUGUUAAGGGUCAGGCCUGGACAUGCUUCAUGAUCUCAGACCUAGAGGGAGUUUAACAAAGCUCGGGGAGAGGGAUGUGCCAGUGAUGGUGGCCACAGGAAAUGCACAAUUGACGGGCCACAAAGACACCUGGCAGAAAUGCAAGAUGAGGAACAGCCAAUAAACCCAACCUGUAAUAGUGCUGAAUCAACAGCUGGGUGAAGAAUCAUUUUUGUGGCAGGAGGAGAUCACCACUGCCAACCCAUGGAGCAAGAAACCACCAGCCCAAAGGAAAGAAACACUGAGCAUGGCACUAAUUAGCAUGAAUAGCAAGAGAAUUACCCAGCAGAACACUAAUUAAAAGAGAGCUAUAUAACACAUAGCCAAUGAACACUGAUGGCCUAUUAAGAAAACCUUUGAAACCAUAUGUGAGAUUCAGAUUAUUGAGGGUUUUUUAUUGUGAGCAAUGUUGGACAUUGCCAGCGCCCAGAAGUUGUGCCAAAUGCUGAACCACUCACGAUAACCUCAAAUACCACGAGAACUCUACAAAACUCCUGUAACUUUUUGGGGCUACAUUCUCAAGGACAUGUCUGGAUUGACAGCUUUGUGCUGAGUGUUCCUGCAAGGCACUGAGCAUCCUUAACUCCAAUUAACAUCACUGGGAAUGGAGGCUCUUGGAGCUCUCUGAAGCCAUUCUUGGCAUGCCCAGCUGUCCAAGGAUCACUCUGGGAUCACCCACUGGCACAGCAGCUGCUGCUGAGAGAGGAGACACAGGCAGCAAGAGGAGGAAAGAUCACUUUAUCCAGAUUGUGUGAUCUCAUCAAGUCACAGAACUUCCCAACCUCAGAGCUCUCUGUUUUUAAGCCUAUAGGCAUAUUUGUGAUGGUAUGGAGGAAAAACCUCUUGGAGGGCAGAUUCAAUCUGUGCUCAAGGAGAGGUGAAAACAGCCCUGGAGGGAGAGGAGAACCCUCAUCACUGAGUGCCAGGGAAAGUUGCUGUGAGCUGAAGAGACUCUGUCCUGCCUCAGCUUCAGAUACCAGGUGAUGCUAUUGGCAUUUUGCUUCCUCCUUUAUUCUAUCAAAGGUCCCUUUGUGACACUCUGGUGAGCCCCAGAAUGAUGAAAGGUUCUGCAGGAAUCCCUGUUCUUCAGGCAGCUUUAUCCCAGUGCACCACAGACUCUGUUUAGGAGAGGCUGCAGCAGAGCAAGGACUCUCCCCUGCACCUUCUGGGUGCCUCCCUGCUCUGCUCUCCCUUCCCACUCCUCCCUUUGCUUCCUGAUUCUUGAAAUUCCUGAGCACCUCUAGUUCUGGGACAUACUGGAAUUUGUGCACACAGCCCUUCAACUGUUUUCUUCUGGGUCAAAAUUUUCCAGGGAAUGGCCAGGGAGUGCAGACAUCUCCUCACAGCAUUUAAUUGCUCCUUCAGUAGGAAAGGAUGUUAGUGGGAUUCCUGUUUGUUGUAC